rnacentral:rRNA from 1 species
AUUGAACGCUGGCGGCAUGCUUUACACAUGCAAGUCGAACGGUAACAGGCCGCAAGGUGCUGACGAGUGGCGAACGGGUGAGUAAUGCAUCGGAACGUGCCCAGUCGUGGGGGAUAACGCAGCGAAAGCUGCGCUAAUACCGCAUACGAUCUGUGGAUGAAAGCGGGGGACCGAAAGGCCUCGCGCGAUUGGAGCGGCCGAUGUCAGAUUAGGUAGUUGGUGGGGUAAAGGCCCACCAAGCCAACGAUCUGUAGCUGGUCUGAGAGGACGAUCAGCCACACUGGGACUGAGACACGGCCCAGACUCCUACGGGAGGCAGCAGUGGGGAAUUUUGGACAAUGGGCGCAAGCCUGAUCCAGCAAUGCCGCGUGCAGGAUGAAGGCCUUCGGGUUGUAAACUGCUUUUGUACGGAACGAAAAGCCCUGGGUUAAUACCCUGGGGUCAUGACGGUACCGUAAGAAUAAGCACCGGCUAACUACGUGCCAGCCGCCGCCGUAACAC